UAUAUUGACAAGUUCACUCCGUGUCCUCAACCCCUAUUCCUAGUCACUGAUCAACUUGACCAGCUUCUUGAAGCCUGCACCCAAAAUUAACUACAAAAUCCCACAAGGAAUAAAUCCCGUCUCACACAGCAACCCCCACCUGACUAACUCCCCACAGCUCAUCAUGAAAUGCCUACAUUUGCACCUACAGCAAAAGUGGGCAGAAGCAAACAUCUACUGCCAGAGGGAUCCUCAGAGAAGUGCAUAAGAAGUUUAUCUGCAGCAUCCUCAACCACACAGAGAUGGCACCUCCUCCAUCUACACAAGAUCUGGAAUAAUGUGCCCUACUUUUAGCAUCAUCAGAUCAAGCUAUAAUUGCUUUCAUCACAUCAAACUCAAGGUUCAAUUCAUCAAACUCAAGUGAAGGAAGAGAAAAUGAAUAGUUAGGAACAACGGAUGAUAGAACAGGGACUGGAACUUCCCAGCAAACCAAGAGGCUAGCACUUGUAGUUGCAGCACUGCCAAGAAAAAGCCUAAAACUUUCAAUAAUAAUGUGUCAUAUGUGAAAAAAAACUUCAACAUCCAAAAAGAACCCCUUACAGCAACUUUCCCAGGAUACAUGGAAUAAACGUGCACAAAGAGCUCAACAAUGGAAAGACUUAUGCACAAGUUUUGAUACGCUUUAUGAGCGAACACAGGUCGACAAAAUAAGCCAAAGAAAGUGCAUAAAAACUGCUCUGUGUAUUCGUGUACAGGCACCUGAGGUAAGUAGUCAAUUGCCCUGAUUUGUCAGGACAUAUGAGAACACCUCCCACCACCCCUCCUGCUUGCUCUUCCUCUAGGUCUCCCACAUCCCCACCUACCUCAGGACUUUGGUCUCCAUUCCCUGGUGAGCCUAGCUUAAAACCCUCCUCACUCGGUUAGUGAGCCUGCCUGCAAAGAUGUUCUUCCCUCUCUUCAUCAGAUGGAUCCCAUCUCUCCCCAGCAAUCCUUUCUCUUGGAAGAGCAUCCAUGGUGAAAUCAGCCAAAUCCCUGCUGGCAACACCACCUGUGCAGCAGGUAUUGAUUUGCAGGAUGCACCUGUUCCUGCCUGGGCCCUUUCCC